CCACCUUUGACAUGUAUGGAAUCCUUUAGAGAUAGAGGAGUGCUCGAAAGAGAGCCAUAACACAGGUGCUGCAUGGCUGUCGUCAGCUCGUGUCGUGAGAUGUUGGGUUAAGUCCCGCAACGAGCGCAACCCUUGUCAUUAGUUGCUACGAAAGGGCACUCUAAUGAGACUGCCGGUGACAAACCGGAGGAAGGUGGGGAUGACGUCAAGUCCUCAUGGCCCUUAUGGGUAGGGCUUCACACGUCAUACAAUGGUACAUACAGAGGGCCGCCAACCCGCGAGGGGGAGCUAAUCCCAGAAAGUGUAUCGUAGUCCGGAUUGUAGUCUGCAACUCGACUACAUGAAGUUGGAAUCGCUAGUAAUCGCGGAUCAGCAUGUCGCGGUGAAUA
rnacentral:rRNA from 1 species